rnacentral:lncRNA from 1 species
GUGCACUACCUCUGAUAAAGGUACCACGGCGAUCACCCCCAACAAUCACAUCUUUCAGUCGAGAUAGUGGACCAAACAUCCGGCCAAUCCUCUGUCAACAUUGAAAUACAUAUCAGUGGACCAAGAAUGCAACUAAAACAGAGUACAGGUAGGAGUGGAAUUAGCAUUUCUGAGAGCCAAGAUGAUUAAUCUGACAACAAGAAUCAUAAGCUGAACUAACAUCGUAUGUGGAUGACUUUCAGAGUUUAAUAUUCUACUAUACCACAAUAAGUGAAAGGUGUUCAACAUUGAAAUACAGAUCAGUGGGAACAAGAGUGCAACUAAACAGAGUAAGGGUAGGAGUGGAAUUAGCAUUUCUGAGAGCCAAGAUGAUUGAUCUGACGACAAGAAAAAUAAGUUGAACUAACACAGUAUGUGGAUGACUUUCAGAGUUAAAAUUCUACUAUACCACAAUAAGUGAAAGGUUUUGUAACCCUGGAAAUACCGGUUUAUCACUUAGCUGUUUGUGUGAUUGAAGACUCUCGAAUCUGAUAAUAAAAGCUACUAUUGAUUAGACCAAAGAAAGCAGCAAGCGUAAGCUUUUAUCCUCCCAGAACCAACAAUGAAGAUCCCAAAAGCAAGAAUCAAACAUAGGACAAUGGGUGAAGAUUAAUAGAAGUCGAAAGACCUUCCGUAGAUUAACUGAUUCAGGUUCACUUAUUCUAGUACACAUGAAUUUCCAGACUCAAGACAGAACCAUAUUCAGAAACAGCAUACUGCAAGCUGUGUUAAAAGUAAUUUUCUCAUUCCAUAUAGGAGACUCGAGUUGGUGAAACUAUUAUGAAUCUUUGAUCCUUUUUUUAUUUUUUGAUCUUUUGGAUAACGGUGGUGUUCAGGAUAGCUUGCGCACACCUCAACUAUUCCACGGACACCACCUCCCACCAAUACAGGCACCUCGGAAAGAUCAUACUCUUCCGAGGCAGUCAACCAGUUUUUUUAUAAACUGGAUCCACCAAGAGAAAAAAAUUAGUAACUGAAGUUUUGCCAAGAGUAGGUCACGAGAGAAUAGUGAGAUGCCCUAGUGAAAAGUAAAGAAGCAUGUGCUCCAUAAAAGUCUUUUUACAUAAAAACAAGAGUUGCCACCUAACUAUCCAUUUCAAAAAUAGUUCUUUUUACACAACAAAUAAAACAAAGACCUGUACAGUUAUCAUCACAACCAGAAGGGUGAACGUUAAUUUUCAAGAUAGACUGUUGUGGGCGUUAUAAAUAUACACAUAUAGACUGGCAAACAAUACAAUCCUGUAAAUCGCAUUCAACAUUAACAACUAGUCCCAUCUCAGCAAAGGUUUGUGCAAGUAUAGGCCAACAUAUGAGAAAAAGGAGAUAUACGACUAAAUGCUUGAGGAGGGAAGAAAUCUAGUAAGCUCAUUUGAGAAUGUUGACCAAGCUGCAGCCUAGGUGAAGAUAACUUUAUCAGUUGGAUCUUAUUUCAAUCCAGCUAUUUUGGAUCAAUCUUGUGUUUCUUCUUUUAGUUAUCUCAAUCAGAACAUUUUGUUUGCUAGAAAGUUCCGUGCAUUUUUGAACUAUCAGACAAUUGGCAAGUAUUGCAAUUAAGCAAGCACUCUCUUAGAAGGUAUUGCAAUACGGUAGCUGGUGGGUAAAGUUAUUAUAAAGUGAUUCCA